rfam:Strongylocentrotus purpuratus Contig141236_fixed, whole genome shotgun sequence.
GGCAUGGUGGAUCAGUGGUUAGAGCGCCCGCCUCAUGAACGGGAUGUCGUGGGUUCGAACCCCCCGGCCGAGUCA